rnacentral:rRNA from 1 species
CGCUGAAGGAGGAGCUUGCUUCUCUGGAUGAGUUGCGAACGGGUGAGUAACGCGUAGGUAACCUGCCUGGUAGCGGGGGAUAACUAUUGGAAACGAUAGCUAAUACCGCAUAAUAGUAGAUGUUGCAUGACAUUUACUUAAAAGGUGCAAUUGCAUCACUACCAGAUGGACCUGCGUUGUAUUAGCUAGUUGGUGGGGUAACGGCUCACCAAGGCGACGAUACAUAGCCGACCUGAGAGGGUGAUCGGCCACACUGGGACUGAGACACGGCCCAGACUCCUACGGGAGGCAGCAGUAGGGAAUCUUCGGCAAUGGACGGAAGUCUGACCGAGCAACGCCGCGUGAGUGAAGAAGGUUUUCGGAUCGUAAAGCUCUGUUGUAAGAGAAGAACGAGUGUGAGAGUGGAAAGUUCACACUGUGACGGUAUCUUACCAGAAAGGGACGGCUAACUACGUGCCAGCAGCCGCGGUAAUACGUAGGUCCCGAGCGUUGUCCGGAUUUAUUGGGCGUAAAGCGAGCGCA